GGCCGAACAUCCUCAAAUCUUAAGAUAACUAAGAUUUAGCUUUUUACCAUGCCAUAACUCAUAUGGUGUGGUAGAAACGAAUUUAAAGGAAACUUGAUUCAAAAAAUAAAUUACAGAAAGUAAUGCAUAUCUCCAAAGAAAGAUAGAAAGAUCUGUAAGCUCAUCAUAGAUCGGAUUAUAUCUAAUAAGAUCCGAUUCCUCCUUUCGGAUAUGUUGUAGAGCUGAGACAACUCUGAAAGUGUCUACUAUGAGAUUAUGUCAUUAUCCUUGAGAU
rnacentral:lncRNA from 1 species